CGCCGGCCAGGGCAGCGCCCAUGGGCUGCGGCAACUCCACGGCCGGCGGCGCGGGCGGGCGAGGUGCUACAGGGACUACUAAAGAUGUAGCAGAAGAAUCCAUAUCAGAUGAUGACAAAAGGAGGAACUAUGGUGGGGUGUACGUGGGGCUGCCGUCGGACGCGGCUGCCAUGGCUCCCAGCCAGACGAAAGCUGCGCCCAAAGAUUAGAAGUAAAUAAAGACAUCAAGAUGCAAACAGCCCAAGUCUACUAAGACCAGUUGCCAGUGCUUUGGAGAGAGCUGUCUUUGUGCUGAAGAUUUUGAUAUUUACACAGCCUUCCAGAGAGCAAGAGAGAUCAGAGCACCAAAAAAUCCAAACUGUUGCAAGUUCCAACUACGGGUAAAGCUUAAAGUACAGCGUUGAAACCGUUUCCUAUGAUUGUUGCAUUAUGGAAAUCUCCUGCUGUUCUCCAGUGAAAGAUUAAAUUGGUGAACUCAUGGUGGAUGUUUCUGAACAAGAGCUAACUUUGAUGAUCUGCAACUUAUUUCUCUGUGGCCAUAUUGCAGAUUCCAUCAGCUAUCAGCUACGCUUCAUAUAUUUUCUCCAACAAUUUUUGAUAGAUUUUAUAUAGAAAACCAUCACUACUGUCCACUCAAUAGUUUCUAUGAAAUCUGCUACUUGGGUUAUCAAGAUUUCAGGCUUCCAGCUCCUGAAGACAAACAUGCAUCUCAUUCUUGACCGUCGACCUCAAACCGAGAUGAAAUAAGCUUGAAGAUUAAGAUAUGAUAUUAAAGUAUCUCUCAGUAUGAAUGAAAGUUUGUAGAUUAUAUCUGCAGAGUCUUGUUCUUGCAAGGCAGGCUGGUGAGGACUCAAGUAGCUCUGGGUGAUAAACAUGCAGGCUUUUCUCCUACCUACUUACCAUAGCAUGAGGAUAUAGUUUCCACUUCACAUAUUCCACAGAUGGCUAAAAAUGGUUUGCAUAGCACAAGUUUAUUUAGUAUAAAGCAAUUAAGCCCAUGCCUGACCUGAUCACAAUUGUCUUUCCCAAAGCAGAAAAAGCACCAGUCGUCCUAGGAUACAUCAGUGUUCAGUUUGUGCUCAAAAAUCCAACAGCAGGUGCCAGUAAAUCAACGUGGUUGUUUAUCCACUUCUAUCCUUCAGUUGCUGGGAAGAAUCAUCAAAAAGGUGGACAGGGCUAAACUUGAGCAUCACUUGUUCUGCUACUGACACCUGCAGCCCUUUGUGUGGGCGGAGGGAGGAAAGAGGCGAUUGCUGAUGAACAGCUCCUCGCUGGUGGUGGGACAGCUGCAAAGGGUGCUUUCCUUGGUUUACCAUUGCUUGUUUUUCCUGUGCAGAGCUACAGAGAAGCUUGAAGCACUUUGCAGAAUUGGUCUUUUAAUGUUUCAUCCUCUGAAUGUGUGGAAGGUACAGUGAUUUCUUAAUAGUUUUGUUCCUCUGUGUCAUUUAAUCUCAAAAGUUUACCGGCCAACUGACAAAUGUGCAGCAUCACGGACUGGAAACUCUAAAAUAGACAUACAUUCAUUUAUGCUGUGUGGGCAUGUACCCAUCAAACUAAAGAGCUAGGGCCAUGCCUUUGUCUUCAAUUUGCAGACUCUUGUCUUUUGUUUUCCCAAGGAUCCAUGAGUUUAGAAACUGUAUGACAGGAUGCUAUAUUCUCUCCUGGCCAAAUUCCACUUAGGGAACUGAUUUUCUGCUCAUGGAAAUUCCUCUAUGGUGAGCAGCCUUUGUUAAUAAAAGCACAUGUCAUUUCAUGGAGAAAUGAGUGUAUCUGCCCUUUCAAAAUUUACACUCUAUGGAUAUUUCUGUUAGGAGGAGGAACAGAAAAGAAACCCUAUAUGCCAGCUACCAGCUGUGCAUGUGACAGAAUCCUUGGAGGAUAUUUAGCCACUCAAAUGAUUGUUCAAUGGGAGAACUGAAAACAGAACACAAGGAGCCAUUGAAUGACAAAGUUAUUAUUGAGGAAUAUACUUUGGUUUUGUCAAAAAAUCUUGAAUUACCAUUUGUGGAAAAUAAACAUUUAAAUGUUGGGGCUGUAAUAUCA